ensembl:misc_RNA Metazoa_SRP Metazoan signal recognition particle RNA
GCAGGGCGUGGUGGUGUGCGCCUGUAAUCCCAGCUACUUGGGAGGCUGAGGCAGGAGAAUCACUUGAACCCAGGAGGCGGAGUUUGCAGUGAGCUGAGAUUGCACCAUUACACUCCAGCCUGGGUGACAAAGUGAGACUCUGUCUCAA